UACGGCGGUCAUAGCAAAGAGGAUCCACCCGUUCCCAUUCCGAACACGGAAGUUAAGCUCUUUAGC
rnacentral:rRNA from 1 species